rnacentral:rRNA from 1 species
ACCAGCAGCCAUAUCACCCUGCAACUCACAACUGGCAACCCACUGAAGCUAAGCGGGUGUGAGCCUGGUCAGUACCUGGAUGGGAGACCUCCUGGGAAAAACUUUCCCAUUGCUCUUU